rnacentral:rRNA from 1 species
AACGAACGCUGGCGGCAUGCCUAACACAUGCAAGUCGAACGAGACCUUCGGGUCUAGUGGCGCACGGGUGCGUAACGCGUGGGAAUCUGCCCUUGGGUUCGGAAUAACAGCGAGAAAUUGCUGCUAAUACCGGAUGAUGACGUAAGUCCAAAGAUUUAUCGCCCAAGGAUGAGCCCGCGUAGGAUUAGCUAGUUGGUGAGGUAAAGGCUCACCAAGGCGACGAUCCUUAGCUGGUCUGAGAGGAUGAUCAGCCACACUGGGACUGAGACACGGCCCAGACUCCUACGGGAGGCAGCAGUGGGGAAUAUUGGACAAUGGGUGUAAGCCUGAUCCAGCCAUGCCGCGUGCAGGAGAAGGCCUUCUGGGUUGUAAACUGCUUUUGCCGGGG